rnacentral:lncRNA from 13 species
GGAAUGGCUCUUGCUGCCGGGACAGUGGACACCUAGAGAGCAGAGUCCUGAUCUCUGAUACCAGCUGCUGGGCAGAGGGGUCCUGUGGCCCCAUGGAGCUGAGCCACGCUGGAGGCCAGUGAAGGAGACAGAGCACAGGAGCCCAGCGUCCUCUCGGCUGCAUGGCAUCUCCACCCAGGCCCUUCUGCAGCCGCCUCCCCACUUACCCAGCAGGAGACCAAGCCAGUUCUUUCCUGCAAAACUGGGCUGCCGCCAUGACUGUCCUGCAGCCAGACAGAGGCCUGAGGGAGGCUGCGUGGUUUCCAUCUGAGGUGGAAGCAGCCCCGGGGCUGCCCCUGCCUCCUGCACACCGCCUCCUCUUAGCUCCUAGCACCUGCUGGGAGAAGCUGGCCCCAGUGUGGACAAGCCUCUGGGAGACUGGAGCACCCACCACCCUGCGCCUCCCCAGCAGAGCCCUAGACAGCGUGGAGCAGAGAAGCCCUGCCUGGCCCUUCCCCGCAGACUCUUUGAGUAAAUAG